UUUGUUGUCUUGAAGCCCUUUUUCCACAACUCUGGAAGUAUGCUUGGGGUCAUUGUCCAUUUGGAAGACCCAUUUCUGACCAAGCUUUAACUUCCUGACCGAUGUCUUGAGAUGUUGCUUCAAUAUAUCCACAUCAUUUUCCUUGCUAAUGAUGUCAUCUGUUUUGUGAAGUGCACCAGUCCCUCCUGCAGCAAAGCACCCCCCCCCCCCCCACAAAAUGAUGCUGCCACCCCUGUGCUUCACAGUUGGGAUGGUGUUCUUUGGCUUGCAAGCCUCCCCCUUUUUCCUCCAAACAUAACGAUGGUCAUUAUGGCCAAACAGUUCUAUAUAUGUUUCAUCAGACCAGAGGACAUUACUCCAAAAAGUAUGAUCUUUGUCCCCAUGUGCAGUUGCAAACCGUAGUCUGGCUUUUUAAAUGGUGGUUUUGGAUCAGUGGCUUCUUCCUUGCUGAGUGGCCUUUUAGGUUAUGUCGAUAUAGGACUUGUUUUACUGUGGAUAUAGAUACUUUUGUGCCGGUUUCCUCCAGCAUCUUCACAAGGUCCUUUGCCGUUGUUCUGGGAUUGAUUUGCACUUUUCACACCAAAGUACGGUCAUCUCUAGGAGACAGAACUCAUCUCCUUCCUGAGCGGUAUGAUGGCUACGUGGUCCCAAGGUGCUUAUACUUGCAUACUAUUGUUUAUACAGAUGAACGUGGUACCUUCAGGCCUUUGGAAAUUGCUAAACCAGACUUGUGGAGGGUCUCCAAUUUUUUUUCUGAGGUCUUGGCUGAUUUCUUUUGAUUUUCCCAUGAUGUCAAGCAAAGAGGCACUGAGUUUGAAGGUAGGCCUUGAAAUACAUCCACAGGUACACCUCCAAUUGACUCAAAUUAUGUCAAUUAGCCUAUCAGAAGCUUCUCAAGCCAUGACAUAAUUUUCUGGAAUUUUCCAAGCUGUUUAAAGACACAGCCAACUUAGUGCAUGUAAACUUCUGACCCACUGGAAUUGUGAUACAGUGAAUUAUAAGUGAAAUAAUCUGUCUGUAAACAAUUGUUGGAAAAAUUACUUGUGUCAUGCACAAAGUAGAUGUCCUAACCGUCUUACCAAAACUACAGUUUUUCAACAAGAAAUUUGUGGAGUGGUUGAAAAACUAGUUUUAACGACUCCAACCUAUGUGUUUGUAAACUUCCAACUUCAACUGUAUAUGGCCAAUAUACCACGGCUAAGGGCUGUAUCCAGGAACUCCGCGUUGCGCCGUGCAGAAGAACAGCCCUUAGCCGUGGAAUAUUGGCCAUAUUCCACACCCGUCGUGCCUUAUUGCUUAAAUAUACCAUGGCUUUUAGCCAAUCAGCAUUCAUGCCAGCUGCCAACUUAGCCUCGAGGGAUAGGAACAGCAACUGUUAGUGGCCUGUCGAGGCCACUGCCACAACUCUGUCCAGAAAAAGGAGGAGACAUUUACAGUAUAAUUUUCUUCUCCCUUGCUUGUGCCUAGCGUUUGUUAACUUCUGUCUUUAUGCAUCUGUUUCAGGACUUUCAUCAUGACUACAUGGAAGUUGAUGGAAAGAUUUAGGAGGUCAUGUUUUUUAAUGGUCAUCCGGGAGUCAUGUCACAAGGGAGUCAAAAUAAAUUAAUUAUAUACCUGUUGAUUAUAUUAAUUAUAUACCUUAUUAUAACUUAAAUGUCAUCAGAACCCAAAAUAUAAACUUGUUUUAGUCCAUUGUUUGUAAACAAAGUAAUUGUAAACAAACACUGUAUUGUCUCAAAACAUUAAAACGAUAAUGUUUAUAUCAUGGAUGGUUAGUCCCUGCAUCCUUAGCUCUGUCAAUUUGAGAGUGGUUACUGGACAUUUCUCCAGCCUCAUCCCUCAAUGUGUUUACCAAAGCAAUGGCAGAGCGACAGAAUUUUCUGGCAUGUUCUCGAUUUUCACAUGGGCUUUCUCUUCUGGUCAGGUGACAACCCAGUGGUAAUAAUUGUUUAUGAGGUUAGUGGCUGUUUCAGGUGGGUAAAUAUAGCAGGAGAAGGCUGCCCCAGCCGCCCUGCAGUCUGCUCUACCCAGGAGUUUAUGCAGCUCUGGCCCCAUCCUGCCGGCGAAGAUGAUUCACUGCGUUGUCAGAACGGGUGACACGUGCGAAGGAGUGGCCGACAGAAAAGUGUUUCUCACCAUCUACGGAGACCUGGGAGAGACGGGAAUGCAAACUCAGCAAGUCAGAGCAACAGCAAAAGUUCUCCAUCGAGGUGGUGGAUCUCGGCCAGGUGUUUAAGAUCCGUAUCCGCCACGACAACUCGCGCCACCCCAGAGAGCUGCUGGUUGGUGGAUGAGCUGUCGGUUGUCGUGCCGACAGAAGGCAUCAAGUACAUCUUCCAGUGUAAGUGCUGGUUGGCCAAGGACAGAGGCAAUGGUCUCAUCACAGACUGUUCAACAUACUAGACACCAACAUCACCCGGAAGGUCCUGCCCCAGGUUGGCACCUGGAGUACAUCAAUGUGAUAGAUGAGACCAUGGGCCAGAAUUUCCGUUUCCCAUGUGACCCCUGGCUGGCCAAGCAUGUCGACGACGGGCCGAUCAUGAGAGAGCUGGCCUGCGCCAACAACUACAUCCUGGUCUUCAGUGACAAGACCAAUGAGUUAACCUCUGACCCUGAUGUAGGCUGGUGAUGACAUGACCCAAAGAUGUUAUAUGAAUGAAGA